rnacentral:hammerhead_ribozyme from 1 species
GCACUGCUGAGGAGUCCCACAAUAGGACGAAACGUUCGUCCAGUGC